UAAUACUGAGGGUGCAAGCGUUAAUCGGAAUUACUGGGCGUAGAGCGCGCGUAGGCGGUCUGGUCAGUCAGAUGUGAAAGCCCCGGGCUCAACCUGGGAACUGCAUUUGAAACUGCCAGACUAGAGUGUGGUAGAGGGAAGUGGAAUUCCGUGUGGAGCGGUGAAAUGCGUAGAGAUGCGGAGGAACACCAGUGGCGAAGGCGACUUCCUGGACCAACACUGACGCUCAGGUGCGAAAGCGUGGGGAGCAAACAGGAUUAGAUACCCUGGUAGUCCACGCCGUAAACGAUGUCUACUAGCCGUUGGGGAGCUUGUCUCCUUAGUGGCGCAGCUAACGCGAUAAGUAGACCGCCUGGGGAGUACGGUCGCAAGACUA
rnacentral:rRNA from 1 species